rnacentral:rRNA from 1 species
UACGAACCGUGCGAACGUUGUUCGGAUUCAUUGGGCGUAAAGGGUGCGUAGGUGGCGCUGUAAGUCGGGUGUGAAAUUUCGGAGCUUAACUCCGAAACUGCAUUCGAUACUGCGGUGCUUGAGGACUGGAGAGGAGACUGGAAUUCAUGGUGUAGCAGUGAAAUGCGUAGAGAUCAUGAGGAAGACCAGUGGCGAAGGCGGGUCUCUGGACAGUUCCUGACACUGAGGCACGAAGGCCAGGGGAGCAAACGGG